GAGAUCGUAUAGGAGAGAGAUAUACCAACUGGUGGAGUGGUGUCAAAGCAACAACCUGGCACUCAACAUCAGUAAGACAAAGGAGUUGAUUGUGGACUUCAGGAAGGUUACCCAGGAGUUUCUCAAGAUUACCAGGUCUGCUUAAGUUCUCCAGCUCUGCUUCUAGUUCCCCAGGUCUGUCUCAAGAUCAGCGUGCAUGCCUCAAGUUCUUCAACCCUAUCUCAAGUUCCUCAGGUCUCCUUGGGUCUUCAUAUGCCAUCAUAGAGAGGGAGGUACUGUACUGACCUGUGCAGAGAACGUUCUGCUCUGAGAAAUCUGUGAAUACUAUUACCCCCUGUGUUAACACUGACACUACUGGUAAUUCCUUGUAUCUUGGUGCUGGAAACACA